AUGAACGCUAGCUACAGGCUUAACACAUGCAAGUCGAGGGGCAGCAUUUCAGUUUGCUUGCAAACUGGAGAUGGCGACCGGCGCACGGGUGAGUAACACGUAUCCAACCUGCCGAUAACUCGGGGAUAGCCUUUCGAAAGAAAGAUUAAUACCCGAUGGUAUAAUUAGACCGCAUGGUCUUAUUAUUAAAGAAUUUCGGUUAUCGAUGGGGAUGCGUUCCAUUAGGCAGUUGGUGAGGUAACGGCUCACCAAACCUUCGAUGGAUAGGGGUUCUGAGAGGAAGGUCCCCCACAUUGGAACUGAGACACGGUCCAAACUCCUACGGGAGGCAGCAGUGAGGAAUAUUGGUCAAUGGGCGCAGGCCUGAACCAGCCAAGUAGCGUGAAGGAUGACUGCCCUAUGGGUUGUAAACUUCUUUUAUAUGGGAAUAAAGUUUUCCACGUGUGGAAUUUUGUAUGUACCAUAUGAAUAAGGAUCGGCUAACUCCGUGCCAGCAGCCGCGGUAAUACGGAGGAUCCGAGCGUUAUCCGGAUUUAUUGGGUUUAAAGGGAGCGUAGGUGGACAGUUAAGUCAGUUGUGAAAGUUUGCGGCUCAACCGUAAAAUUGCAGUUGAUACUGGCUGUCUUGAGUACAGUAGAGGUGGGCGGAAUUCGUGGUGUAGCGGUGAAAUGCUUAGAUAUCACGAAGAACUCCGAUUGCGAAGGCAGCUCACUGGACUGCAACUGACACUGAUGCUCGAAAGUGUGGGUAUCAAACAGGAUUAGAUACCCUGGUAGUCCACACAGUAAACGAUGAAUACUCGCUGUUUGCGAUAUACAGUAAGCGGCCAAGCGAAAGCAUUAAGUAUUCCACCUGGGGAGUACGCCGGCAACGGUGAAACUCAAAGGAAUUGACGGGGGCCCGCACAAGCAGUGGAGUAUGUGGUUUAAUUCGAAGCAACGCGAAGAACCUUACCAGGUCUUGACAUCGAUCUAAAGGCUCCAGAGAUGGAGAGAUAGCUAUAGAGAAGACAGGUGGUGCAUGGUUGUCGUCAGCUCGUGUCGUGAGAUGUUGGGUUAAGUCCCGCAACGAGCGCAACCCUUAUCUUUAGUUACUAACAGGUCAUGCUGAGGACUCUAGAGAGACUGCCGUCGUAAGAUGUGAGGAAGGUGGGGAUGACGUCAAAUCAGCACGGCCCUUACGUCCGGGGCUACACACGUGUUACAAUGGGGGGUACAGAAGGCAGCUACCUGGUGACAGGAUGCUAAUCCCAAAAGCCUCUCUCAGUUCGGAUCGAAGUCUGCAACCCGACUUCGUGAAGCUGGAUUCGCUAGUAAUCGCGCAUCAGCCAUGGCGCGGUGAAUACGUUCCCGGGCCUUGUACACACCGCCCGUCAAGCCAUGAAAGCCGGGGGUACCUGAAGUACGUAACCGCAAGGAGCGUCCUAGGGUAAAACUGGUAAUUGGGGCU
rnacentral:rRNA from 1 species